UGUUCGUGGCUCCGUGUUUGGCCCAUGAUGAGCCAACGGCGGUAUGAUCCAGGACAAUUGACACGUGUGGCAAGCAGCUCUUUUCAGUCCAGAAAUGUACCCAGUUGGUUGCUGGUGAAUUAUUUACGUUAGCCAAGCAGAACAUGGUGACCUAAAAGCUGGUGUAAAAGACGGUAAUUAAAAGACUUAGAAGUGUCUUGCAUGAGGGACAGUGAAGUUGGAAGAUAAAAACGUGAGAGACAGACACCGCCUCUUCUGUGUCAUUUCUCCAACUUGUUUUUCUACAUUGUAAGCUCAUACUCAGAUGUGGCAGGAGAGCAGUGGAUUCAGGAUGCUCCUCAUGAAAAAUGCUCAAACUGCCUCUUGCUAUUGGAGGAUCUUUAAGAGGAACACAAUUUGAAGGUUGCGCGUUCUGGCACAGCAAGGAAUUUGGUGUCUGCAGAUGAUUCUAGACCGUCUGAUUGACUCCUCCCGCUCCCGGUCAGAGCUGAAGCUUGUGAAGGUGAAGGCGACUUGUUGAAUGAGGAUACUGUGGAUACACUUUCCAUAAACAGCACUAAUUUUUAACAAGUCCAUCUGGAAGAUUUACGUUUCGUGUUUAUUCUGUAAUUCUGUACCCGAUUUUUAUCCAUGCCACACUGAUAAGCUGCCUUAAACUUUACCGUGGAUUAUUAAGAGUUCUCCAGAGACGAAAAUCCAAAAGUAAUCUCAGAUUAAUUUUCUAUCUUGUUAUCUGUAACUUUAAUCAACGGUUUUGACUGUCGAUCUAAUGCGUGACAGAAAGUGACUGUGUCAUUUCAAGGUCAUUUCAAAGAUCAGCUGAGCAGCCUUAAAUAUAUUGUGUGUAUGUGUGAGUUAGUCAGCUUACAACUAAUAUAUAGUUGUAUAACAACCAAUCAAAUUCAAGUUUCAAUAGGUCUAUUUAAUACUAUAUAUAUAUAUAUCUUAAGAACUCGUUGAAGCAGUAAUAAAUAAAUGAUGCAUUAAAAGGUUAGUAUUUUGUUUUAUGUUGUAGCAUUGCAGAACUGUAGUGAUCAUAAUAUCCUAAAUUUAGACCUUUUGGUUUCUUGUAAAUUUACAAAACGUGCUCCUUAAAGCGCUUUGGUUGAUUUUUGUGCUCAGUUCGUGUUUAAAUAGACGUUCAUAUUUGCAGUUAACACGAUAUUCAACCAAUUAACUAAUCCGGAUGAACAAAGACGUCUCGUUACUUGUCUACAGGGCGCGAGAUUAGUGCUUUUGUUUGCAGUUAUUAGUAUGCCAACACCUGUAGCCUAGAAAAGAUCAUGUUUAAAUCUUGCCUUGAAGCAAUGCAGUUUUUGAAAUCGUUCCAAAAGCAUUUUAUUAUAGCAACGAUUAUUAUUAUUUUUUUCUAAUACCCAAUUAACCACUGAUGAUAAAUCUGCAGACAUGACCACCUUUUAACUGUACGCAUUAAUCUUUAAUGUAAGACAGUAGUGGUGUGCCCACUGGAGAGAAGGCCAUUAAGCUCUAAGCCCCAGGAUAAACAGACAAUUAGGCCAAGUGAAUUAACUUGUUUGUGGCAUUAAUUACACGUUUUGUGCAAACAAAAAGCCUUGUGAAAGAAUGUUAUUUGUCUACGACCUAACAAGCUGAUCUUGUUUCCUACUGACAUUUUACCUUGCAUUUUAAUUUGAUGAAGAGGCGCAUUAACUAAUAAUAAUUAUGCGGAAUACGCAUAAUGUUGUAAGCUGAUAAAAACGUGUAUUUAAAUGUUUUAAAUGUAUUUAAAAGUGUCAUGAAAAUUUCAGAUUGAACAAAAGCUUAGAGGCUUAUUUCAAAUGAAUCAAAUUCAAAAAUAAAACAUGAUUUAAUUUUACAAAUAAGUUCCAAUG